rnacentral:rRNA from 1 species
AUUGAACGCUGGCGGCAUGCCUAACACAUGCAAGUCGAACGAGUGGCGGACGGGUGAGUAAUGUCUGGGAAACUGCCCGAUGGAGGGGUCUAACUACUGGAAACGGUAGCUAAUACCGCAUACCCUCGGAUGUGCCCCGAUGGGAUUAGCUAGUAGGGGGGGUAACGGCUACUCUAGGCGACGAUCCCUAGCUGGGCUGAGAGGCUGACCAGCCACACUGGAACUGCGACACGGGCCAGACUCCUACGGGAGGCAGCAGUGGGGAAUAUUGCACAAUGGGCGAAAGCAUGAUGGAGCCAUGCCGCGUGUAUGAAGAAGGCCUUCGGGGUGUAAAGUACUGUCAGCGAGGAGGCGUUACGCGCAGAGGAAGCACCGGCGAACUCCGUGCCAGCAGCCGCGGUAAUAC